rnacentral:lncRNA from 1 species
CGAAUGUCAUAUCCUUUGAGCAAUCUGUCCACUGUCUCUUUCAAUUUUCAGUUUGGACAUUAAUAAAGGAGGAAAAUCUAAGUCCUUAACCUGUGGGAUCUGAUGCUAUUUCGAGAAAAUGGCUAGAAAAAGGGAAUCUAAGAUAGUGGAGCCAUGUAAUGAGAGGAGCCAGAUACCUGUGUCAACACUUGGAGACAAGCUACUGAGGAAUGCAUACGAAUAAACAACAUUGGACUUUACAUGAAGAAGAAAUAAACUUUUCAUUAUUUUGUAUUGUUUUUGUUAUAGAGGCU